ensembl:misc_RNA Metazoa_SRP Metazoan signal recognition particle RNA
GCCGGGCGUGGUGGCCCACGCCUGUAAUCCCAGCACUUUGGGAGGCCGAGGCAGGUGAAUCACUUGAGGUCAGGAGUUCAAGACCAGCCUGACCAACAUGGUGAAACCCCGUUUCUA